rnacentral:rRNA from 1 species
CAGUCGCCACGGUAAUACGUAGGGUGCAAGCGUUAAUCGGAAUUACUGGGCGUAAAGUGUGCGCAGGCGGUUAUAUAAGACAGAUGUGAAAUCCCCGGGCUCAACCUGGGAACUGCAUUUGUGACUGUAUAGCUAGAGUACGGCAGAGGGGGAUGGAAUUCCGCGUGUAGCAGUGAAAUGCGUAGAUAUGCGGAGGAACACCGAUGGCGAAGGCAAUCCCCUGGGCCUGUACUGACGCUCAUGCACGAAAGCGUGGGGAGCAAACAGGAUUAGAUACCCCUGUAGUCCCUGUCUCUUAUAC